GUGGGGAAUAUUGGACAAUGGGGGGAACCCUGAUCCAGCCAUGCCGCGUGUGUGAAGAAGGCCUUUUGGUUGUAAAGCACUUUAAGUGGGGAGGAGGCUUACCUAGUUAAUACCUGGGCUAAGUGGACGUUACCCACAGAAUAAGCACCGGCUAACUCUGUGCCAGCAGCCGCGGUAAUACAGAGGGUGCGAGCGUUAAUCGGAUUUACUGGGCGUAAAGCGCGCGUAGGUGGUUAAUUAAGUCAAAUGUGAAAUCCCCGAGCUUAACUUGGGAAUUGCAUUCGAUACUGGUUGGCUAGAGUAUGGGAGAGGAUGGUAGAAUUCCAGGUGUAGCGGUGAAAUGCGUAGAGAUCUGGAGGAAUACCGAUGGCGAAGGCAGCCAUCUGGCCUAAUACUGACGCUGAGGUACGAAAGCAUGGGGAGCAAACAGGAUUAGAUACCCGGGUAGUCC
rnacentral:rRNA from 1 species